rnacentral:rRNA from 1 species
CUACGGGCGGCUGCAGUGAGGAAUAUUGGACAAUGGGGGAAACCCUGAUCCAGCAAUGCCGCGUGAAUGAAGAAGGCCUUAGGGUUGUAAAGUUCUUUCACUCGUGAAGAUUAUGACGGUAACGAGAGAAGAAGCCCCGGCUAACUCUGUGCCAGCAGCCGCGGUAAGACAGAGGGGGCUAGCGUUGUUCGGAAUAACUGGGCGUAAAGGGUGCGUAGGCGGUUGUUUAAGUAAAGUGUAAAAGCCCUGGGCUUAACCCAGGAAUCGCAUUUUAAACUGGACAGCUAGAGGGUGGUAGAGGAAAGUGGAAUUCCUAGUGUAGAGGUGAAAUUCGUAGAUAUUAGGAGGAACACCAGAGGCGAAGGCGGCUUUCUGGACCAUUACUGACGCUGAGGCACGAAAGCGUGGGGAGCAAACAGGAUUAGAUACCCACGUAGUC